GUUUUGACGUUACCGACAGAAUAAGCACCGGCUAACUUCGUGCCAGCAGCCGCGGUAAUACGAAGGGUGCAAGCGUUAAUCGGAAUUACUGGGCGUAAAGCGCGCGUAGGUGGUUUGGUAAGUUGGAUGUGAAAGCCCCGGGCUCAACCUGGGAACUGCAUCCAAAACUGCCAGGCUAGAGUACGGUAGAGGGUGGUGGAAUUUCCUGUGUAGCGGUGAAAUGCGUAGAUAUAGGNAGGGACCCCNGUGGGGGAAGG
rnacentral:rRNA from 1 species